GUCCCCGCGGCCCACUAUUGCUCGUUCGGCAACGCGUGUACGUCUUCGCCGAGGACUGGUCCGCGGUUUCCCUGCUACAUUUCUUUCUCGAGGCAUUGUUCCCUUCCUUUGGUUUCGUGGUCUCUGCGGCCGGGGUGCGGAAACUUCUGAAAGGAACUGGAUCUCACCUCUGCGGGUGCAGCCUGGAGGCGGCGGGGAGCUGAAGCAGAACGACCUGAAGAGAGUUCCUGGAUGUGGAGUUUGUUUUUUUAGAACCAUCCUUGUGCUGUGAAGUGUUUGAUGAAAAAAUGUUUGGAAGAUUGACUUUUCCACAACUGCUUUUUGCUAGCCUCCUUGGAAUUGCUGGAGGAAUAUAUAUUUAUCAACCAAUAUUUGAACAGUAUUCCAGAGAUCAGAAGGAGUUAAAAGAAAAGAUGAAAUUGGUACAAGACUCAGAAGAGAAGAAAAGUUGAUACUACAUGGAGUUGAACUUAAAGGUACUGCUGCUGCUGCUGCUAAGUCACUUCAGUCGUGUCCGACUCUGUGUGAUCCCAUAAACAGCAGCCCACCAGGCUCCCCCGUCCCUGGGAUUCUCCAGGCAAAAACACUGAAGUGGAUUGCCAUUUCCUUCUCCAGUGUGUGAAAGUGAAAAGUGAAAGUGAAGUUGCUCAGUCGCGUCCGACUCUUAGCGACCCAAUGGACCGCAGCCUACCAGGCUCCUCCAUCCGUGGGAUUUUCCAGGCAAGAGUACUGGAGUGGAGUGUAGUAAAGAAUAUGGUGACCUUUUAUGCUGUUGGCAUAGAACCCUGUAUGCUAUCAAGUCAAGACACCCUGGGUAUGCUCCAGCCUGGCUUCCCAUUUUAGCAGUUAUGACUUGCCAUCAGACCUUUGCCACCUGGAAAUUCUUUUGUUUCUAACUUGGGAGUCCUGUUGCAGCAUCUUCUGUCAGUCUCAUCUCAUAAAGGAUGUCCAUGUCAGUGACCUCCUCACCAGUGCCUCAGUGAAAGGAGUCCCAUCAGGGCCUUGCGGGUAACAGCAGCUGGUGGUUCUGCAGUCUCAUCACAAAUCCGUUAUUCUGACUCCAAGGUCAGCAGGGCGAGAUAAGGAGAACAAGAAAGUUAAGGAGGGAAAGCCAAGACGAUGAUAGAUUUUCAAGGGGGCCACUUGACUUGAUCCUAUGGGAUUUUCUGAAGAGAAUUUAAAAAUUUUUUUAGCUAUUGAUUUGAAGUAACUUCAGACUUAAAAAGUACAAAAAUAAUAUUAAAAAAAUUCAUAUACUUGUUAUCCAGGUUCCACAGAUGUUAACAUUUAUCCACAUUUGCUUUAAUCUCUCUCUGUAUAUAUGUGCUUACAUAUUAUGCACACACAAACAUUAUUGUUUUUCUAAACCCUUUGACAAAAGAAUAAAUUGCCCAUGUGAUUCCCAUAAGCUCUAAAUAUUUCAGUGUGCAACUCCUAAAAACAGGGAUGUUCUCAUUUAUUAUUAUAGUGUAAUAAUCAAGAUCAGGAAGUUAAGAUUGAUAGGAUAUUAUUAUCUAAUAUCAGAUUUCAUUCAGAUUCUACUAAGUCCUAUUAAUGUCCUUUAGAACAAGACAAAAAUAUUUUUCUGAACUGGGAUCUAAUUUAGGGUCACAUUUGAAUUUAGUUCAUGGUUCCUUGGUUUUAUUUAUUCUUGUUCCUUGAAAGUGAAAGUGAAGUUGCUCAGUCGUGUCCGACUCUUUGCGACCCCAUGGACUGUAGCCUACCAGGCUUCUUAGUCAUUGCCUUUUAUGACCUUGAAAUUUUCAAAGAAUGUUGGUUUUUUUUGUAAAAUAUCCCUUAAUUUGAAUUUGUUUAAUGCUUCUGUAUGAUUAAAUAGCUUCAGGUUAUACCUUUUUGGUAGGAAUACUGCAGAAGUGAUGUGUUGGUUUGAUUCACAGAUUCCUAUUUUACUCAGUGAGUUAUAAUUUAUUACUGUCACCAGGGCUGACCACAUGAUUUGUGGGGCUCAGUGCAAAAUGAAGAUGCAUGGCUAUGGGUAGGGAUCAGAAAGCCAGUCUCUUUCCAUGGACUCACUACAACUCAUGAUGAGUGUGCAACCCCCAGUUUACAAACCUCCAUGCUGGAGUGCCCU